rnacentral:rRNA from 1 species
GUCCACGCUGUAAACGAUGGGCACUAGGUGUGGGGGUAUUGACCCCCUCCGUGCCGAAGCAAACGCAAUAAGUGCCCCGCCUGGGGAGUACGGCCGCAAGGCUAAAACUCAAAGGAAUUGACGGGGCCCGCACAAGCAGCGGAGCGUGUGGUUUAAUUCGACGCAACGCGAAGAACCUUACCAAGGCUUGACAUGCCGGUGGUACCGAUCCGAAAGGUGAGGGACCCUUCGGGGAGCCGGUGCAGGUGAUGCAUGGCUGUCGU